UCUCUGGUUGCUCAGUGGUAAAGAAUCUGUCUGCCAAGCAGAAGACCAGGGUUUGAUCCCUGGAUUGAGAA
rnacentral:tRNA from 1 species